GACGAACGCUGGCGGCGCGCUUAACACAUGCAAGUCGAGCGAGAACCAGACCUUCGGGUCUGGGGACAGCGGCGAACGGGUGAGUAACACGUGGGUAAUCAACCCUCGGUACUGGGAUAGCCCGGGGAAACCCGGAUUAAUACCGGAUGGCCCUUCGGAUCUUCGGUUCUGAAGGAAAAGGUAGCUUCGGCCUCCGACCGAGGACGAGCCCGCGGCGGAUUAGCUUGUUGGUGGGGUAACGGCCUACCAAGGCGGCGAUCCGUAGCUGGUCUGAGAGGACGAUCAGCCACACUGGGACUGAGACACGGCCCAGACUUCUACGGAAGGCAGCAGUGGGGAAUCUUGCGCUAAUGCGGGAAACCGUGACGCAGCGACGCCGCGUGAGGGAAGAAGGCCUUCGGGUUGUAAACCUCUUUCAGAAGGGACGAAGCUACUCGGGUUAAUAGCCCAGAGGGUGACGGUACCUUCAGAAGAAGCCCCGGCUAACUACGUGCCAGCCGCCGCCGUAACAC
rnacentral:rRNA from 1 species